rnacentral:rRNA from 1 species
UACGUAGGUGGCAAGCGUUGUCCGGAUUUACUGGGCGUAAAGAGCGCGCAGGCGGUCGUCCAAGUCGCGUGUGAAAGCCCCCGGCUCAACUGGGGAGGGUCACGCGAUACUGGUCGACUCGAAGGCAGGAGAGGGUAGUGGAAUUCCUGGUGUAGCGGUGAAAUGCGCAGAUAUCAGGAAGAACACCCGUGGCGAAGGCGGUUCUCUGGGACGGUACUGACGCUGAGACGCGAAAGCGUGGGGAGCGAACAGG